rnacentral:rRNA from 1 species
AUUAAUUUUUCUUUGUUUAUUUAAAUUUUCAUUAAAGUAUUAUUUUGGUUUUUGUAUCUUUUUGAUAAAAUUUUUUUUUUCUAUCUGUGAAGGGUUUAUUUUUAUUUGUUAAAGUUGAUUUUUUUUUGUACCUUGUGUAUUAGGGUCUAUUAAUUUUUAAUAUUUAAUUUGUUUUUCCCGAAUCUGAGAGGGCUAAUUUUAUUAAGAUGGUUUAUGUGUUAUAAUAAUCUUUAAUAUUAAGUUUGUAAUGAUAUGUUAAUCGUUCUUGGUGUUAUCUGGUUUUUCGGGAAAUUAAUUUAAUUUGGCAUUCUUUUUUUCUCUUUUUUAUUAGGUUUGAUGUUUUGAUUGUAUUUUUAAGGGGGAUUAGCUCUUUUUGAUAUUUCUAUAAUUUUUUGUUUUAAGUUUGAAUUUGUUGGUUUUGUGUUAACUAUCAUUGAUGAUUAUGUUGAAAUUUUACCUUUGCUUUUUUUUAUUUUGUUUUUUUUAGUAGUUUUACUGGAAUGGGAUUUUUAAUGGUUUUUUGUUUUUAAUAAUGAUUGAAUUAGUAUAUUUUUUAUAUUUUGUUUUGGUGUUUAUAAGUAUUUUAAAGGAAUUAGGCAAAUUUUAAUUUUUGUCUGUUUAUCAAAAACAUUUCCUGAUGGUGUUUAUAUUAGGUAUGGCCUGCCCACUGAGAUAUUUCUUUAAGGGCCGCGGUAAUUUGACCGUGCGAAGGUAGCAUAAUCAUUAGUCUUUUAAUUGUUGACUUGUAUGAAUGGUUUUACAAAAAAUUUUCUGUCUUUGUUUUAUUUAUUGAAUUUAAAUAUUGGGUGAGAAUGCUCAAAUGUUUUUAUGGGACGAGAAGACCCUAUAGAGUUUUACUUUUCUUUCUUUCUUUUGUGUUUGUUUUUUUAUGUAUUGUUAUGAGAGUUUUGUUGGGGUGAUUGGGAGAUUUAAUUAACUCUUUUUAUUUAUUAUUAUUUAUUUAUAAUUUAUUGAUCCUUUUUUAUUGAUUAUAAGAUAAAAUUACCUUAGGGAUAACAGCGUAAUCCUUUUUGAUAGUUCUUAUUGAUGAAGGGGGUUGCGACCUCGAUGUUGGAUUAAGAUUACUAUAUGGUGCAGUGGCUAUAUUUAGUGGGUCUGUUCGACCUUUAAUUUCUUACAUGAUCUGAGUUCAAACCGGCGUGAGCCAGGUUGGUUUCUAUCUAUUGUUUAAAUGUUUUAGUACGAAAGGACCAAUCAUUUUUAAUAAUUGUUUAUUUUUUGAUUUAUAUUAAGUAUUU